GCCAGGCGUGGUGGCACACGCCUGUAAUCCCAGCUACUCAGGAGGCUGAGGCAGGAGAAUUGCUUGAACCCAGGAGGCGGAGGUUGUAGUGAGCCAAGAUCAGGCCACUGCACUCCAGCCUGGGUGACAGAGCAGGACUCUGUCUCAA
ensembl:misc_RNA Metazoa_SRP Metazoan signal recognition particle RNA